UAACUUGGGAUGACCCUGUUCAGCCCUUUAGGUUAGACCUAAAUCUAGAGUUCGGCCCCUGCUGUGAUUGAGUUUGACACCCCUGCACUAAAGAAUUUGCUCUGAUGACAAGCAAGUGCUAAAAUGCCAGGAAAUGUUUCCAGCCCAGCAUACUUGGCACAGGCCAAGUGGCACAUCAGUGGAUGUGCACUAAGAUGAGUAAUACCACGAAGAAAGAGUGAGACAGAAAUAAAGAAAAAGACGAUUUUCAGACUCGUGACACAGCUGCUGCUACAGACCUUCAGAUUUUAUGACCAUUUAUCGUCAGGUCUUUUUUCUGUACAUGAAAAGACCUCCUCAUGUUAAGGUGGGCACAUGAAAACAAAAUAUCAUGUUCUAUUGGAUUGACUGAUAGAAAUAAAUAAACCAUGAACCAAUGAUCAGCUAAGGAAUACUACAACACACAUGGAGAAUCCCAGUGAGAGUCUGUGAACAUCUGUCCUGACUCUGUAACCUCUGUUGGGUCAUGUGAUCACUGCUUUAGACACGCGAUAGAUCCAUGAGAGAAUUAUGUUUCCAAGUAUUCAUAUUCUUCCCUCUCUUCUUUUUUUCUGGAUUUGCUCCAAAUAUAGUUCUGCCUCCUCCUUUAAAAGGUUCAGAUUCAGGUUCAGGUUCAGGUUCAGACGAUAAAAGUGCUGGAAAAUGAGCAUGAGGAGAUUUUGGACCCGGUCAUCAUCAGUGACCAUGGGAAUGUUUGGAUGCAUGAGCGUGAACCAGGGCUCCUGUUCAUCUGCUGUAGACCUCUUUCAAGGCCAAUCCUGAUUAAUCUGUUAGAAAGCUCAGACACAGGCCGAUGUGUCAUUAGACUCCUCUGUUGAUUGAACUGUUCUUUCUUAAACCACAUUAAAAGCAUUAAAAAGGC